CUCUAUCUCUAUAGAAACUCAACCUACUCUCCAUCUCCCUAGAUUUAUUCACUGUUCAUUGAUGGAAUCGUUAAUCCAAAGUUACCACGAGGAUCAUGGAAGGAUUCUCUACAAUAUCUACGGAUCGGAUCUUCGUUUCGGGUGUUUUCGGGUUUUAACCCAAAAUCGAGGUUUUGGAACUCGGUUUGCUUUUAAGGGGCCUUGGAGUUCAGGAUUUACCAUUUGGGGAAAGGUACUGAGAGUGUCCGGCUCUAUAUCUGAGGGCAUAGGAAAUCGCUAGCCAUGGGUUGGCAGAGUGUUUAGCUCUAUAUCUGAGGGCGUGAGCCUUAUCGGCUGAUCACCAAAGGGUGUGAAUCCACCAGUUUGUACCAGUACGAUGCCAUGGGAGUCUGGGGUUCGCCAUGUGCUGGGACACCGAGUACUAUGGGUCGGCCGGGCCGACGCCGGGUAUUGCGGACCGUCUACGGGCCGAAGGGUGUGACAAAACUGCUUGAUCAUAUAUGUGUGUGCUUGUAUGUACUGUGUUGAAACUAGUACUGGAACCUGCAUUUAACUGUGUAAGUUUUGCUGUCAUGAUAACACUCGAAUGCCACACACCGAUAUAACGUGUAUUCUUCCUUACUGAAAGGUGUCUCACCCCUGCUGUACGUACAUAUUUUUCAAUUCCUUCAGGUAACCGGAGCUAGCUUCUGGGUGUGGGAGCGUAGUGGUCGGUGUAUUGCGAGAGGUACUUGGGUAAGUACUAGGACUGUAUAGGGUGCUCUUUUGUGGUUUUGGAAAACACCCGGGUUGUGUUUGUAUUAUGGACCUGAAUUUCCUUGUGUAUAGACUCUGGUAUGGUACAGAUUAUCAAUAGAAAGACCUUUUUCCG